rnacentral:rRNA from 1 species
UACUUAGUGGCAGACGGGUGAGUAACAUGUGGGUAUCUGCCCUUUGGCCUGGAAUAACACGAGGAAACUUGUGCUAAUACCGGAUAAGUCUUUACGGAGAAAGCUUUAUGCACCAUUGGAUGAGCCUGCACUUGAUUAGUUUGUUGGUGGGGUAAUGGCCUACCAAGACUGUGAUCAAUAGCUGAUUUGAGAGGAUGAUCAGCCACAUUGGGACUGAGACACGGCCCAAACUCCUACGGGAGGCAGCAGUGGGGAAUCUUGCACAAUGGAGGAAACUCUGAUGCAGCGAUGCCGCGUGAGUGAAGAAGGCCCUUGGGUUGUAAAGCUCUUUCGUCGGGGAAGAAAAUGACUGUACCCGAAUAAGAAGGUCCGGCUAACUUCGUGCCAGCAGCCGCGGUAAUACGAAGGGACCUAGCGUAGUUCGGAAUUACUGGGCUUAAAGAGUUCGUAGGUGGUUGAAAAAGUUAGUGGUGAAAUCCCAGAGCUUAACUCUGGAACUGCCACUAAAACUUUUCAGCUAGAGUAUGAUAGAGGAAAGCAGAAUUUCUAGUGUAGAGGUGAAAUUCGUAGAUAUUAGAAAGAAUACCAAUUGCGAAGGCAGCUUUCUGGAUCAUUACUGACACUGAGGAACGAAAGCAUGGGUAGCGAAGAGGAUUAGAUACCCUCGUAGUCCAUGCCGUAAACGA